CAGUAGCCACGGUAAUACGGAGGGUGCAAGCGUUAUCCGGAUUUAUUGGGUUUAAAGGGUCCGUAGGCGGAUCUGUAAGUCAGUGGUGAAAUCUCACAGCUUAACUGUGAAACUGCCAUUGAUACUGCAGGUCUUGAGUAAAUUUGAAGUGGCUGGAAUAAGUAGUGUAGCGGUGAAUUGCAUAGAUAUUACUUAGAACACCAAUUGCGAAGGCAGGUCACUAAGAUUUAACUGACGCUGAUGGACGAAAGCGUGGGGAGCGAACAGGAUUAGAUACCCCUGUAGUCCCUGUCUCUUAUAC
rnacentral:rRNA from 1 species